UUAACCGCGUCUGCUCUUCACACCCGUCGCUGCGCUCUGCCGCGCCUCCGCGCGCUGCCUGCUCAGCCAUCUCCCUCCGCCGCCUGCCUGCGCGCCGCCUGCUUCGCUUGCUCCGCCUAGCUACUCAGCGCGCCGCCUGCUUCGCUUGCUCCGCCUACUCCGCGCGCCGCCUGCUCCGCUGCCUGCUGCGCCGUCUGCUUCGCCUGAUCCGCCGCCGCCUAAUUCGCCUGCUUCACCUGCUCCGCCGCCGCCUAAUUCGCCUGCUUCACCUGCUCCGCCGCCGCCUGCUUCACCUGCUCCGCCGCCGCCUGCUCCGCCCCCUACCUGCCUGCUCCGAUAUGCUCAGCCCCUAAUUCGAAACCCUAGCCUAAAAUCAGGUAAUAGCUGAAUGGUGUCUAGCUUUUCCACUUCUGUUCGAUUUUUUCUUUUGCGAAUAUGUUGAAAGUAGGCGAAAUGUGGGGAGGAGAAGAAGAUAUGCAACUUUGAGAUUCUUGUUAUGUAAAUUUGGUUAUUUUCAGAAUUGGAUUGAGCUUCAUUUUUUUUUCUUCCUUUUUUUUGCUGUUUGUUUGGAUUCUUAACGCUGUGUGUAUGACUCAUUGGGCGUGGUGCUGGAUUACUGAAAUUUUAAUUUCUACGAUUUUGAGCUUUGGUUCAUUUUUGUUGAUUGUGCUUCGACUUCUGUAGUGUGGAGUAACUAAUAUUUGAAGCGUUAGUGUGCUUGAAGUCGUUGUAUUUUAAUGAAGGAGCAGCAUUGGACUUAUGUGUUUGUCUUGCUCUUUUAGUUCAGUCCAUGACCGAUUGUUUUCCUCAUUCCUUAUCAAGAGCUAUUUGCUGGCCUUUAGAAGAUUGAACACGAGUGUUUAUAGGAUGUAGGCCUGCUUUUCUUGACUUAUUGCAUUGUAUAUUGGAAGAGAGAUGUAGUUAUUUGGGUUUUAUUUAUUUCUUGAUGUUUUUCCAUCGGUGGUAUGGUUGAUCUGCAGUGAUGGUGCGCGGUCUUGCUUUCCUCUUCUGUAAUUGUUGAGCGUAUUUGCGUAUGCAUUCAUUGUGUCUGUAUGUAAAGAUAAUGAAGCCCUUGCUUUACUUUCUUCAGAUUCUGCUCUCUGGCUUUGCUGUUGAUAUCUAAGUUUAAUAAAGUGAGCUCAAAAAAGGUUUUAGCAUUCAACUUUGAUAUGAGUAUUUAAUAGUUUUGUUUGGUAUAAGCUCUUAGUGUAGUAUUCAGCUAUAUAGACCGAACAUGAUUUCAAGUUUCAACAAGGAUUUGUAGUUAGUCUAUAUCCAGAUUUGGUAGGCUUUUAGACAUAGGUUCAGCUGAACAUAUCGUUUGAACAGGUUUAAUUAUUUGUUAGUACAUUUGAUUGAGGCGCUCUCUCACACAGAUUUACUUUUCUACUUCCAGAUUUGAUCGUGACUGGAAGAAAAUUGAGGCUUUUGUUGGCUCAUUUUACUCUAAUCGAGGUAACAAGUUGAUUCUCAUCUUUGUUAAUUUCAUUGAAAUUAUCAUUUAUGUUAAUUGUGUCGCCGGUGGGGGAGAGGCGAAUAGCAUGUUAAAAUUAUCUCAUUUAUAGGGUCAUGUUCAAGAAGCUACAGGACUUGAGAAAGAGCCUCAAGUUUAGAUUUGUUGAUCCAUCAAUUGUAUGUCAUAUACCAUCGACGAAUAAUGAUAAAAAGUCGGUCAAUGAAAGAAUUGAACGAAGAGCUCAAAAAUUGGCAGGAAGACUUGUUGGCACAUUAGUCGAUCAACUUGUCAUGGUUCCAUGUAAUGUGCGGUGAGUAAGAAAUUCACAAUAGUUUAGUGAAAUUGAUAUAUACAUGCACUAAUUCUAUUAUGUUUACUUUUACUAUAUAGUGACCAUUGGAUUCUUACGAUCAUCGAUCCUUAUAAGGAGGAAGCUGCUAUGUUGGAUCCCUUUUAUGAUGGUAUUCAUGAUGGUGUUUGGAAACAAGUUGUUCAAUUGUAAGUUGAGUGGCUUUACUUUUAUUUUAAAAUAUAAUUAUACUUGAUGUAAAUCACUUUUCAUCUUCUAAUGAAGGGCAUUAAAGCUUUUCAAUGCCCAAAAGCAGAGGAAAGGAAGAAAGAUGUCUUCGUGGUCAGUAAUUAAGGUAUGUAAUUGUAUGCAACUUGAUUCAUAAAAGUGGAUAUAUAAAAAAUUAAUCUGUAACACUUUCAUUCGAAUGUAGGUUCCUAAACAACCAGACAACUUUCAAUGUGGUUUCUAUGUAAUGAAAUACAUGAAGGAAAUAGUUGAGUGUGAUGGUUCUCAGACGAUUGGCUCGUUGCAUUCAUUGGUAUUUGUUUUCAAUAAAAUUUAUUAAGUAUUUGGUGGUUGACUAUCACAUUGUAAUACAUAUUUUUUACUCACAGUUCGAUAAACCAAGUUACUCCAAAGAGGACAUUGAUGACGUGCGUAAAGAAUGGGCGGACUGUGUACAAGAUCAUAUACUUGAGUAAAGAGGUAAUGAAUGAUCUUUAUAAUUUUGCAAUACGUCGUGCAUGUGUUGCUACAUAUAUUUCUACAUUUCUUAUAUCAAAUUAUUAUAAUUUAUGUGUUCUACUUAUUAUUGAUAUUAGGUUAUAUAUGAUAUGGUGCGUUAUUGAUUCUAUGUAUUCAUUGAUUCUAUGUGUAGCUAUAUAUUUUUUUGCUACGUGAAGUAAUGCAUUUUUUCUUUAUUUUUGUCCAUUUAUUUUAUGCAGGUAUGACGUUGCUAGUUUGGAUGCAAAGUGGAAAAAUGUCAUAUACACUUGAAAGUUUUAGUUGACGCUUAGUGAAGAACAUUGCUUAGUUGCAUAUUUUGGUUGGUAGAAUUAUGUUUAAAGUACAAUGCAAAAAAUUCUAGUCCGUUGAACUAAUUCCCGUUUCUAGAUUAUUGUAAUGACUCUUGAAUAUUAAACUUUAUUUAAAUUUAUGUGUUUUGAUUUGUGUUUAUUAUUUAUGAAA
rnacentral:lncRNA from 1 species